rnacentral:rRNA from 1 species
CCCGCACAAGCGGCGGAGCAUGCGGAUUAAUUCGAUGCAACGCGAAGAACCUUACCAAGGCUUGACAUACACCGGUAACGCCCAGAGAUGGGUGCCCCUUUGUGGUCGGUGGACAGGUGGUGCAUGGUUGUCGUCAGCUCGUGUCGUGGGAUGUUGGGUUAAGUCCCGCAACGAGCGCAACCCUCGUCCUAUGUUGCCAGCGGGUCAUGCCGGGGACUCAUGGGAGACUGCCGGGGUCAACUCGGAGGAAGGUGGGGAUGACGUCAAAUCAUCAUGCCCCUUAUGUCUUGGGCUUCACGCAUGCUACAAUGGCCGGUACAAAGGGCUGCGAUACCGCGAGGUGGAGCGAAUCCCAGAAAGCCGGUCUCAGUUCGGAUUGGGGUCUGCAACUCGACCCCAUGAAGUCGGAGUCGCUAGUAAUCGCAGAUCAGCAACGCUGCGGUGAAUACGUUCCCGGGCCUU